rnacentral:rRNA from 1 species
UACGGGGGGGGCAAGCGUUGUUCGGAAUUACUGGGCGUAAAGGGUUUGUAGGUGGCUUGCUAAGUCAGACGUGAAAUCCCUCAGCUUAACUGGGGAACUGCGUCUGAUACUGGCGAGCUUGAGGGCAGGAGAGGAACGCGGAAUUCCAGGUGUAGCGGUGAAAUGCGUAGAUAUCUGGAGGAACACCGGUGGCGAAGGCGGCGUUCUGGACUGCAUCUGACACUGAAAGACGAAAGCCAGGGGAGCAAACGGG